rnacentral:rRNA from 1 species
AAGUGAAAAGGCUUAAAUGGAUUAGGGGGACGAUAAGACCCUAUAAAGCUUGACAAUAAGUUAAUUAUAUUAUAAAUUGUUAGUAUAACUUGAUUUUAAUUGACGUUUGUUACGUUGGGGCGACGAGAAUAUAAUGAGUAACUGUUCUUAAACAUUUAAUGACAAAUAUAAUUGGUAUUUGAUUGAUCCUUUAUUAAAGAUUAAAAGAUUAAGUUACUUUAGGGAUAACAGCGUAAUCUUCUUUGAGAGUUCAUAUCGACAAGAAGGGUUGCGACCUCGAUGUUGAAUUAAGGUAUCCUUAUGAUGCAGCAGUUAUAAAGGAAGGUCUGUUCGACCUUUAAAUCCUUACAUGA